UAGAGUUUGAUCAUGGCUCAGAUUGAACGCUGGCGGCAUGCCUUACACAUGCAAGUCGAACGGCAGCACGGGUGCUUGCACCUGGUGGCGAGUGGCGAACGGGUGAGUAAUACAUCGGAAUGUACCUUGUAGUGGGGGAUAGCUCGGCGAAAGCCGGAUUAAUACCGCAUGCGCUCUGAGGAGGAAAGCGGGGGACCUUCGGGCCUCGCGCUACAAGAGCAGCCGAUGUCAGAUUAGCUAGUUGGUGAGGUAAAAGCUCACCAAGGCGACGAUCUGUAGCUGGUCUGAGAGGACGACCAGCCACACUGGGACUGAGCCACGGCCCAGACUCCUACGGGAGGCAGCAGUGGGGAAUUUUGGACAAUGGGCGAAAGCCUGAUCCAGCAAUGCCGCGUGUGUGAAGAAGGCCUUCGGGUUGUAAAGCACUUUUGUCCGGAAAGAAAUCCUCUGGGUUAAUACCUCGGGGGGAGACGGACCGGAAGAAUAAGCACGGGC
rnacentral:rRNA from 1 species